UUGACGUCUCUUGAGCCAUCAGUACUUAAGUGGACAAAAUUGGUCAACUUUUGGUCCUAGCCAGGACAUGUUUUCCUACUUGCCCAUAUUUAAUGCUCUUCACCAUUAACACAUGUUCCUCAGCUUCGUUAACUAGAAAAUUCACCCUUCAAACUUCAACUCUGAGGUUGAAGUGAAAAAGACACAACCAAGCCUCCAUACGCCCUAAAAACAUGGAUGAGUGUUUCCGGAAAAUUCUACAGAAACACCUGGUGGGUCUUCUUCACAGACAGAAUCUAUAUCCCAAAUGUUUUUUUUCCCCGAGCCAAGAGCUAGCCCAGCCAGAGCACUUUAAAUAAGCACCAGGGCUAAUCCUUAAGAGCGCUUAUCGAUUACAGAGCGGGAGAAAAGAGAU